CAGGCACAAGGAUACUUAAAACACAUUAGCCUGAACUGGAGCUGAAAGUACUCUCAGAAUCUCACCUAAUAUCUCUGUUAUGUGGUCAAACAAUGAAAAUGCUUCAGAGUCCUUUCUUUACAAGCUACAAAGCUGUGCAGGAAAGAUCAUACAGCAAAAUAUAAGAAAAGAGACUAGAAAGGCUAGGAAGAAAGACCAGCGUGGCUUCUGGGAGAAAAGAAAGUUCAUCAUCUUCUCUUCAAAAUUAAGAAAUGCAAAAGCGCAAGCAAUCUAAGCAAGUAAGGAUGGCCUCGUAAACAAGGUACCAACCUGGGACACAGGAGACCUGUUCUGAGCUGGGCCACAAAUUCUCUACCUGACCAUGGCUCCCACAGUGAGAGCCCAUCUGUACCUAAAAGUCUCUUGUCCUGGGAUCCUCCUUCAAAGCCUGGAUAUCUAUUUAUCAAAGAAAGACAAGG